AGUGAACGCUGGCGGUAGGCCUAACACAUGCAAGUCGAACGGCAGCACAUUAAGAGCUUGCUCUUACGGGUGGCGAGUGGCGGACGGGUGAGGAAUACAUCGGAAUCUACUUUUUCGUGGGGGAUAACGUAGGGAAACUUACGCUAAUACCGCAUACGACCUACGGGUGAAAGCAGGGGAUCUUCGGACCUUGCGCGAUUGAAUGAGCCGAUGUCGGAUUAGCUAGUUGGCGGGGUAAAGGCCCACCAAGGCGACGAUCCGUAGCUGGUCUGAGAGGAUGAUCAGCCACACUGGAACUGAGACACGGUACAGACCCCUACGGGAGGCAGCAGUGGGGAAUAUUGGACAAUGGGCGCAAGCCUGAUCCAGCCAUACCGCGUGGGUGAAGAAGGCCUUCGGGUUGUAAAGCCCUUUUGUUGGGAAAGAAAAGCAGCAGGUUAAUACCCCGCUGUUCUGACGGUACCCAAAGAAUAAGCACCGGCUAACUUCGU
rnacentral:rRNA from 1 species